rnacentral:rRNA from 1 species
ACAGUGUCUGGUGGGUAGUUUGACUGGGGCGGUCUCCUCCUAAAGAGUAACGGAGGAGCACGAAGGUUGGCUAAUCCUGGUCGGACAUCAGGAGGUUAGUGCAAUGGCAUAAGCCAGCUUGACUGCGAGCGUGACGGCGCGAGCAGGUGCGAAAGCAGGUCAUAGUGAUCCGGUGGUUCUGAAUGGAAGGGCCAUCGCUCAACGGAUAAAAGGUACUCCGGGGAUAACAGGCUGAUACCGCCCAAGAGUUCAUAUCGACGGCGGUGUUUGGCACCUCGAUGUCGGCUCAUCACAUCCUGGGGCUGAAGUAGGUCCCAAGGGUAUGGCUGUUCGCCAUUUAAAGUGGUACGCGAGCUGGGUUUAGAACGUCGUGAGACAGUUCGGUCCCUAUCUGCCGUGGGCGCUGGAGAACUGAGGGGGGCUGCUCCUAGUACGAGAGGACCGGAGUGGACGCAUCACUGGUGUUCGGGUUGUCAUGCCAAUGGCACUGCCCGGUAGCUAAAUGCGGAAGAGAUAAGUGCUGAAAGCAUCUAAGCACGAAACUUGCCCCGAGAUGAGUUCUCCCUGACUCCU